UCGAGUUUACAACUCCCAAACCCAAUGUGAACAUUACCCAUCGUUGCUUCGGCGGCUCGCCCAUGGCAGCCGUCGAGGGGCACACAAACCAUUGUUUUUCUCGGUAUCGUCUGAGUGUGGGCAUUAGCCAAUAAAUGAAUCA
rnacentral:misc_RNA from 1 species